AACCAAAGUACAGAUGGACAUGGUGUA
rnacentral:piRNA from 1 species